CUGAUUUUAAGAGGUAAUCCUUUUAUUGGUUUGAUGCUCCCUUUUGGUGAGCUCACCUUUUAGAGGUAUUAUUCUCUUUCUACACUUUGUGCAAACUUGAUGUUUUUUGGGUUUUUAGUUAAUAACUAAAGCCCAGUCAUGUUUUAAACCUUUGUUUUAUUAUUAGUCUGACUUUUGUUAAAUCGUUAAACGAUAA
rnacentral:misc_RNA from 1 species